UGGGCUUUGAGGUCCAGAGUUGAAUUUGAGGGCACUAGACUGUGUAAGACAAAACCCACAAAGAAAAGACAACAGGCAAAAAUGCAUGUGGUCCCAAUGUCUAAAUAGUGAUAGUUGAAACUGCAGUCGAAUGGUUCUUCUCACAGGCUACGUACAAAACCUGGUGGAUGUGUUGUUCAACAGCAUCGUGGGUACCCCCUACCAUAUCAAGAGCUGUUCCAGAAGACUGAAGCAGUGGCCAGACACCAGUCCUGCUUCAGAGUAAUGGAGGACACUUGAAUCGGGGAGAUGCCCCCUUCCACUGUGCCAAUGGACUACUUUUGGGCCCGAGAGCCAAAGUCAGGCUCCUUCAUGACCAAUAUCAGUGACGAGACGGGCCUGGAUCUGCUUUACACUCCCAUGCCCAUCGGCAAACACCUCCGAAGGGACAAAAGUAUAGAUGGAAAGAAAGUCAUUAGCCACUGGAGACAGCUGGAGUUGUACUCUACACACCACUUGUCUAUAUUUGCUAGCCUCUCGCUGACUCUACGGUGAACCCUGACUCUACGGUGAACUGUAUGGAUAAAAAGGCAACAUUGACCCGUGAAAGGCCUUCGAUGCUGUUGAUCACUCACUGCUAAUGCAGAGGCUUUCCUCAAAUUGGCCUAGGCCAGGCUGCAUGUAACUGGAUUAAAAAUCACUUUAGAUACACAUUCAGUUGUAUCUACUGAUGGUGUUAAAUAGAAUUUUCUGGACAUAACGAAAACUGUCCUGCAGGGAUCAAUUCUGGGUCCUGUACUUUUCACAUUAACAAUAUUGACUUCUGUCCAAAAAUGUUACCUGUCCUUGUAUGCCGAUGAUACUGUUGUAUGUUAUUGCCCUCACGGUUGACUAGGUUCGAGCUGAACUACAGUCUGCCUUCAUUGUACUACAGAAAAACUUUGACCUGAAAUGAGUAUUGGAUGCAGGUAAAGUUAAAUACAUGUUGUUCUCUAAAGCGCAUAAAAUAACUGAUGAUUUAAACCUAUGUACUUUGGAUGGGGUCCCUAUUGAUCAUAUCUCUGCUUACAAAUAUCUGGACAUCUGGAAAGAAGACAAGUGUUUAUAAGAAGUGUUUAUAAGAAGACAAGUCUUUAUAAAAAAGCAUAUUGAGGAGUUAAGCGGAGAAUAAAAAUGGCCUUCUAUAGAAAUAGGUAAUGCCUCUCGCUAAAUAGUAGAAAGCAGAUUAUUCAGUCAACGUUCCUGUCAGUCCUAGACUAUGGCGACAUCCAUUUGAAAGCAAAUGCCACUUCAUUAAAGUCGUAUGAUGCAGUUUAUAAUAGUGCCCUUCCCUUUUGUGGAAUGGGCGACAGAUUUAGUAUUCAUCACUGCAUUCUCUACCAGAAAGUUGGUUGGCCCUCUGUCAUUUAGGUUGAUACAUUGCUAUGUUUUCAUGUAUAAAUCCCUUUAUACUAACACCCACUGUACUGAACAUCAUUACUUAAAACUUCAGCCUUUGAGUUACCACACCCGGUCUCAGGGAUGGCCAACUCUGGAAAUUCCUUUUGGUCUCCGAGUUAACCUAAAGCCGAUUUACCUUGCAUCAUAUUUGUAGAACAAUAUUCAAAAUGUUCUUAAAAUUGGAUGUUUUGGUACCUUGUAGGGCAAUUCAGCAAGUUGAUUGAGGGUGGCAAUUAGCCUAGUGUUUAAGAGCGUUGGGCCAGUAACCGGAAGGUCGCUGGUUUGUAUCCCUGAGUUGACUGGGUGAAAAAUCUCGAUGUGCCCUUGAUUAACCCUAAUUGCUCCUGUAAGUCACUCUGGAUAAGAGUGUCUGCUAAAAUGUCAAAUUAUUGAGGAUCUUAUGACUGAUGUGUUUUUUUUUUUAUGACAGUUUCUUUCUGCUUGCAUUUUGUACUUAUAUUUCAAUGUUUAUCUUUUGUAAUCCAGGGCUCAUCUGUAAAAAGAGACCUUGGUCUCAGGAUA